rnacentral:rRNA from 1 species
CAGUAGCCGCGGGAAUACGGAGGGUGCAAGCGUUAAUCGGAAUUACUGGGCGUAAAGCGCACGCAGGCGGUCUGUCAAGUCAGAUGUGAAAUCCCCGGGCUUAACCUGGGAACUGCAUUUGAAACUGGCAGGCUAGAGUCUUGUAGAGGGGGGUAGAAUUCCAGGUGUAGCGGUGAAAUGCGUAGAGAUCUGGAGGAAUACCGGUGGCGAAGGCGGCCCCCUGGACAAAGACUGACGCUCAGGUGCGAAAGCGUGGGGAGCAAACAGGAUUAGAUACCCGUGUAGUCCCUGUCUCUUAUAA